CAGCAGCCAGUUAAACUGAGCAGGUCUCUUUCCUGAUGGGGCCUGGUAUGCAGUGGCCUCGAACAGUGGUGUCCUGGUAGAGCAUGUUGUUGCCUGAAUAGGCUACCCUAAGGGAUCCUAGGGACAAUU
ensembl:snoRNA LOC120097673 small nucleolar RNA SNORA70